AUUGAACGCUGGCGGCAUGCCUUACACAUGCAAGUCGAACGGCAGCGGGCCUUCGGGUGCCGGCGAGUGGCGAACGGGUGAGUAAUGCAUCGGAACGUGCCAUUGAGUGGGGGGAUAACGUAGCGAAAGUUGCGCUAAUACCGCAUAUUCUGUGAGCAGGAAAGCAGGGGACCGCAAGGCCUUGCGCUCUUUGAGCGGCCGAUGUCAGAUUAGCUAGUUGGUGAGGUAAAGGCUUACCAAGGCGACGAUCUGUAGCGGGUCUGAGAGGAUGAUCCGCCACACUGGAACUGAGACACGGUCCAGACUCCUACGGGAGGCAGCAGUGGGGAAUUUUGGACAAUGGGGGCAACCCUGAUCCAGCCAUGCCGCGUGAGUGAAGAAGGCCUCGGUUGUAAG
rnacentral:rRNA from 1 species